GACGAACGCUGGCGGCGUGCUUAACACAUGCAAGUCGAGCGGUAAGGCCCUUUCGGGGGUACACGAGCGGCGAACGGGUGAGUAACACGUGGGUGACCUGCCCUCAGCUCUGGGAUAAGCCUGGGAAACCGGGUCUAAUACUGGAUAUGACUCCAUGACGCAUGUUGUGGGGUGGAAAGCCUUGUGCGGCUGAGGAUGGGCCCGCGGCCUAUCAGCUUGUUGGUGGGGNGAUGGCCUACCAAGGCGACGACGGGUAGCCGGCCUGAGAGGGCGACCGGCCACACUGGGACUGAGACACGGCCCAGACUCCUACGGGAGGCAGCAGUGGGGAAUCUUGCGCAAUGGGCGAAAGCCUGACGCAGCGACGCCGCGUGAGGGAUGACGGCCUGUGU
rnacentral:rRNA from 1 species